GCUCCAGUGGCUUAGUGGUUAAAGCGCCCGCCUCAGAUGCAAAAGAUCGCGGAUUAGAAUCCCGGCUGAGUCA